rnacentral:rRNA from 1 species
GACGAACGCUGGCGGCGUGCUUAACACAUGCAAGUCGAACGGAAAGGCCCUGCUUUUGUGGGGUGCUCGAGUGGCGAACGGGUGAGUAACACGUGAGUAACCUGCCCUUGACUUUGGGAUAACUUCAGGAAACUGGGGCUAAUACCGGAUAGGAGCUCCUGCUGCAUGGUGGGGGUUGGAAAGUUUCGGCGGUUGGGGAUGGACUCGCGGCUUAUCAGCUUGUUGGUGGGGUAGUGGCUUACCAAGGCUUUGACGGGUAGCCGGCAUGAGAGGGUGACCGGCCACAUUGGGACUGAGAUACGGCCCAGACUCGUACGGGAGGCAGCAGGGGGGAAUAUUGCACAAUGGGCGGAAGCCUGAUGCAGCAACGCCGCGUGCGGGAUGACGGCCUUCGGGUUGUAAACCGCUUUCGCCUGUGACGAAGCGUGAGUGACGGUAAUGGGUAAAGAAGCACCGGCUAACUACGUG